UAGAAUAUGGUGUAAUAAUGGUAGCACGAAGAUUUUUGGAUUCUUAGGAUUAGGUUCGAUUCCUGUUAUUCUAG
ensembl:Mt_tRNA